UACACAAUAACAUCAUUCGACUUCGUCCGUGUUGGUAUUGGCUGGCGGGCGUGCUCGCCUUUUUGGAGUGUUUUUUUUGUUAAAACUGACUGGAAAGCGGUCUAAGGGGGUGCCGUGCGUGUGUCGACGAGCGCCGGCACAGACGGGGUCCAU